AGCAACUACACGUCAAACAACGCGAACGACAUCUCUUCUCUCUGCACUCGGGUUGCAACCGCUAGGAUCGCUCUCCAGCACCCGCCUCCGCUCCCUUCAUACGUUGUGCACCUCCGUAUCGGCCACCUCAGCAUCUCACGUCGGUUUCCUGUUCGUUCCCCUUUACCGAAAACACAAUUGGUGCCUCACCAUGUCCUAUCCGGCGACGUUCCGCGAGUGGCUGGCAAAGAUCAUCAGUUUCGACACGACGAGUCGCAACUCGAACUUGCCGAUGGUGGAGUACGUGCGCGACUACCUGAGGUCCGUCGGCGUUGCGUCGACGUUCGUAUACAACCCGGAGAAGACGCAUGCCAACCUGUGGGCGACGCUUCCCGGCGAGAACGGCGCGAUGCAGGGCGGCAUCGUGCUUUCAGGCCACACGGACGUUGUGCCGGUGGAUGGGCAGAAGUGGGACAGCGACCCGUUCACGAUGGUGGAGAAGGACGGCAAGCUGUUUGGCCGCGGAGCCUGCGACAUGAAGGGCUUCCUGGCCGUUGUGCUGGCGCUGACGCCACAGUUCCUGAGAAUGAAUCGUGUGAAGCCCGUGCACUACGCCUUCUCAUUCGACGAGGAAGUGGGCUGCACCGGCGUGCCGUACUUGAUCGAAUAUCUGAAGGCACAUGGGUUCCUGGCGGACGCCUGCCUCAUCGGUGAACCGACGGACAUGAACGUUUACGUUGGCUCGAAGGGCUUUACUCAGUGGAGCGUAUCUGUGCAGGGAAAGGCGAUUCACUCGUCGAUGGCGCUCAUGAACACAAGCUGCAACGCGAUCGAGUAUGCUGCGCAAAUCAUCACAAAGGUGCGCGAGAUCGCGGUGGACCUGCGCAAGAACGGCCGCCAGGACCCUGAAUACGCAUGUCCGUUUCCCUGUAUCACGACUGGGUUGAUCAAGGGCGGCAAUGCUGUGAACACGGUCCCUGCGCAGUGCGAAUUUGUGGUCACUGCGCGCAUUACAGACAACGAGACACCGGACGCCAUCGAGCGGCGUGUGCGUUCGUACGUGAACGAUCACGUGCUGCCUGCAAUGCGUGAGGAGUACCCCGAUGCUGAGGUAAAGGUGACGCGUCCCUUGAGCAUGCCUGCCUUUAACGGCAAAGAAGCUGCUUCUGUGACGCAGAAAGCCUUGAUGCUCCGGAAGGCUACAAGGACGUACAAGACGGGUGGUGGCACGGAGGGCGGCUACUUUGAGGACGUCCUGGGUGUCUCAACGGUGAUUGUGGGUCCGGGCCCUCAGGCGAUGGCGCAUCUGCCGAACGAGUACGUUCUCGUGGACCAGAUGGAAAAAAGCACUGAGUUCACGAUGGCCCUGGUGCGUCUGUACACGGACCCGAGCUACUGCGGUGCCGGCAACCUGUAAGAGGUAAGUAAGCCACUGAAGUGCAGCGGCUUGCGCUCUCCGUGGUGACUUUAUCCGCUCCACGGAAACUUUGGAGGUUGAGCGUCGAAUGAGCCUUUCCUACGUCAUCCUUCAGUGUCUUGACGUCGGGUGAGGAAAGGGCAACCAUCGCGGGGUGGCUGCUUGGGGCGGCCGUGUCUUCUUACGCGUGUGUCGCUGUGCAUGUGUGGCAAAGGGCAGAUUGAGGUCACUCGCACGGGUGCGUAGGACACCUGCGCUCUUCUGUUGCCUUGGGGCACUGCCACUUCUCCCUACCCCUCCCUCCCCUCGUACUCUUCUUUCGCUUGCUUUUCGGAAUUCACUAAGAGGAAGUGCCGUGUGCCAUCCUGCGUGUGUUGUCGUUCAUCUUUUCAUCACUGUCUUGUGCCUAGCCUACUCCACUCUUGUGUGCGUGUGCGUGUGCGUGCGCGUGUGUGUACGGCCCUCUUUGCCGCAUCGCCUUCGCGGCAUCGCGGGCACGUUUUGUUUUUUUCGCGGAGGCGACAGGUAAUGUCGAUGCGGCUUCACGCUUCCUGAUGCCUUGCUGGGGUGGUGCUCUGCUGCCUCUAGGCGAUACGUAAUGCGCACAGCUACACCUCCUGUUGUAGUUUGUAAUUUUGUCUGAUGCGCACGGCAUAUUGUGCGUCUCUCCUCUCUCUCCCCGCUGUCUGUGUGUUUCACUUCCUUUCAUGGAUUUUGUAGCCACCUGUUUCCACACAGCCUUCCUGCUUUGUGUAUAUUUUCGCUUCAGCUCUGUUUUAGGGGCACAAUGGUGCCUGUAUGUGUGUCGAUGAAGGCUAAGGAAGGAGACACAGAGCAGAGGGUGCGCGGUGAUGGCCAGGCUGGUAGUCCGCUUUCGCCCUCUCCCCCGCUGCACCCGAGAUCUCUUCGCCCUCUCUCCCUACUUUCACCCUAAUCGUUAUUAGCAGUAUCGUCCUUUUUUUUCCUUUGCCCCCCCCCCUCCUUUUUCUUUCUCCCCCUCGCUUGCUGUCCUUCACUCUCUACUGCCUACUGGAUCGAAGAAGACGGGGGUUGCCUUAGUGGAAACCUCAGGAGCAACAUG
rnacentral:misc_RNA from 1 species